ensembl:lncRNA
CUGCUGCUCAUAACGCACGGCUGGAAUUGCUCCCACAUGCCAAGAAAGCACUGUCCUGCUGUGAUUUACUGGACGCUGCUAAACAGAGAUCUCUGGCUGGAAAACCCAAGGCUGGACGCUGAGCAGAUGGCAAUGGUGGCUGAGAUUUAUCGGAAAGGAGACGUUCUUGUCUUGGUGCAGCUCAUACUUUACGAGUGCUUGCCACCUUCUGGUUUGAGAAAGGAUUACAACCGUUAAACUACUGGGAAUUGAGAGGAAAUCGACUGUAAAAACUCUGGUCCUGUUCCUAAUCCCCCUAAAAGGAUUGACGGAUUUGCAAAGUGCCAUAAUGCCUGUCAGAGAAUUUGGAAAUGAAAAGAUGGAUGAUGCUGUCGAUAUCCUUGAAGAAUGCCCUUUAACCAUUGUGUAAAAUAUUCAGGGAAAAUAUUGAGAGCAGGAGCAAUGGAAAAUUAAUCUUAAAAGCGAAAUAGGUGCAAAGCUUCCAAAAAGAAAAGAAUUUUGAAAUAGUGAACAUUUUUUCUCACAAAAAUGUUUGCAGAUUUUGACCAAUCUGACACUUCCACUCAAUCCUAUCAGCUGUCAUUUGUCUGCCCAGCUUCAGUGAUGCCACUUAAAAUGAUUACAUCUGCCUUUUGUGCAGGAGGAGGAUGCACAGUAUCUGUAAAAAAAGCAACUUUACAGUCAUGGCUACUCAAAUAAUACGAAUAGCACUACAAAAAAAAGUCAGAAUUACCUUAUUCAGUCAUUUUUGAUUUAGCCAGAUGAGUGUUUUCACAACACAUGUGUACUUCAUGAAGGCUAGUAAACACUUUUUCUAAUGGAUAUCACAUUGUCUGGCUUCAUGUAAUUCAAACUUCAUUUCAGAUGUCACAGUUUAGUCCUUAAAAACCAUUUAUAUUUAAUUUACCAUGAUCUUAAUAGAAGGCACCAGAGUAUCUGAACACAUUCCAGCAGUGUAUGAAGCACUGUGACUAACAUAUGCCAUUUGUUUGUUCAAUUUGUUCCUUCCCAGCAUGGGACAAAUGGGCAGCAAAGCACUUCUUUCUGUGUUUUUAUAAUAUGCACAAAGAACUAUGUUUGUAUUGGGAAAGGCAGGUCUGAACCAAUAUCCCUCACACACAGAGAGAAAAGCAGUGAGGUUUUGAUGCUCCCCAGUCAUUGUCAGGUCACAUAAGGAUUUUGGCCGGCACUCCAAAAAUGGUUGGUUGAUUUCUCGGAUAUAACUUGACCUUGCUGAUCUUCUCACUGUAGGGUACAAGCACGGCAGAGUCCCUGCUUACCUUCGCUAAUCAGAACAGAUUUGCUGUAUCCCCCCACUGGGUCUGUACGAUGACUGUGGUUGCAGCAAGAUGAGCAGCAGCCAUUUGCCCACUUUGACUCCCUAAGAAGGCUGGGGAAGAGAAGCCG